rfam:Bos taurus Ctg49271, whole genome shotgun sequence.
UGGGCGGGCGACAAGCGCGGGUCUGGCGGAGCGCGGGGGCGCGCGAAGACCCGCGAGGCGACCGGGAGCGGCUGGGUCCCCGGCGGCGCGCGCCUCGGCCCGGGCCGGGAGCCGCGCCAGUCGGUGCCCCCAGCCGAGCGCGGUCCGCCUCCCCUCCCAGAAAUCUGCCGUCCGGAGCGUGACCAGAGGGCAUGCCGGAUCCACCAGAGGCGCCGCCGCCUGCGCUCGCAGGCCGCGGGUGAAAAAGAAAGCACAGCCUCGCUCGGCCCGGAGCGAAGAGGUGUGCCGGAGCGAAGAGAUGUCCCGGAGCGAAGAGGUGGCCCCGAGCGAAGAGGUGGUCCCGAGCGAAGAGGUGGCCCUGAGCGAAGAGGUG